GAAAAAGGUAGAGGAAGUUUAUCACCGUAGAGUAUAUCGCCCAAGAAAAAUCGUUGAAAAACCAAAGGCAAUUGAACCUCCUCCAAAAACUGUAAUAGUUGAAGAAGUCGAAGAAAUUGAAAAGCCUCGUCAAUAUAUCGUGGAAGAAGUCCUUGAAGAUCCCCGGAUGAUGACGUCAAAUUCGUAUUCCCAAU